AGGAGCUAGAUGAAGGGAAACUCUCACGUCUGGUUCUGAAGACGAGCCGUUGAGACGACAGCGGCUUAGUUUAAC
rfam:Phormidium tenue NIES-30 NIES-30_Scaffold_24, whole genome shotgun sequence.